ACAGCAGCCGCCGCGGUAAAACGGAGGGUGCAAGCGUUAUCCGGAUUCACUGGGUUUAAAGGGUGCGUAGGCGGAUCUGUAAGUCAGUGGUGAAAUCUCCAGGCUUAACCUGGAAACUGCCGUUGAUACUAUAGGUCUUGAAUUUUGUGGAGGUUAGCGGAAUAUGUCAUGUAGCGGUGAAAUGCAUAGAUAUGACAUAGAACACCAAUUGCGAAGGCAGCUGGCUACACAACUAUUGACGCUGAGGCACGAAAGCGUGGGGAUCAAACAGGAUUAGAUACCCGCGUAGUCCCUGUCUCUUAUAC
rnacentral:rRNA from 1 species